CCUCCAUCUCUCUCCCUGACCCCUCUCACCCUCUCGACCAGUCGGCCACCGGUGAAGAGCGCCGGCGCCGCCCCUGUUCCAGCGAGCAGCCAGCCGCCGCCGUUACACCGAACGCCGUCUCCUCCAGCCCGGCGCUGUCCCCCUUCUCUUCUUUCUUCGGCCGGCAGCAACGACUGCUGUCGCCGUCACCUCGGCGGACAACAGAGCUGCUCCGCCGCCUCCUCCCCUUUACCCCAGAUCUGGCGCCGCCACCGCGCCUGUUUCUCCGGCGAGGGCGCUGCCUACCUCCACUCCACACCGGCGCCGUUCAGACGCCCACUCCCCUGUCUACUCUAAGCCUCAAC
rnacentral:lncRNA from 1 species